rnacentral:rRNA from 1 species
AGUAUGUGCGGGCCGAGUACGUCGGGAAUGCAGAGAGGGCGAGAGUGGAUGGGAGUUAAGUGUCGUAAAUCGCGGGGAGGUGGCUAAUUAAGUCAAAUGUGAAAUCCCCGAGCUUAACUUGAGAAUUGCAUUCGGUACUGGGUGGCUAGAGUAUUGGAGAGGGUGGUAGAAUUCCAGGUGUAGCGGUGAAAUGCGUAGAGAUCUGGAGGAAUACCGAUGGCGAAGGCAGCCAUCUGGCCUAAUACUGACACUGAGGUGCGAAAGCAUGGGGAGCAAACAGGAUUAGAUACCCCAGUAGUC